AGCGCGCCGAGGUCUGCCCCUGCUGCGCAGUGGGAGCCCUUGACGUCCUCCGGGCGUGUCCUGCUUCGCUCGGUAGUUACCGUGUGUCUGACUCGUUUCGUGAAAAUUAUUUCAUGUUUGUAAAAAUGUGUCAUCGACAUCACAGAAAGGUUUCACUAUGUAGCCGAGGUUCCUGAAUGCUGAGAUUACAGGGUAGCUGAGAUUUAAACAAUUUGAUUCUUUCUCAAGAUGGUGCCCUGCCUCAGCCCACUGAAAUUGAGAACUCUUCUCCACUGCUGACCCUCCCACUGAAAAGUCACUGCUUCAUCAAGAUCCACAGCUUUAUUUGAGACUUGUGAUGGCUGUGGGCUUGUCCUAAGGAUAGGACGACCAGUCUCUUUUCAGCAGGGCUGCCUCUUUCUGCUCCUCCUUCCCCUGCUGCAGGGUAAGCAGUUGGAACUGUGUGUGGCUUGUCUUCUUUCCAGUGUGUGGCCUUUCUGUUUCUUUCCUUCUAAGCUGUCAUGUAACCCUUUUUGUGAAUUUCUACAGUUCUUCCUCUCUAUAGAAUAGUCUGCUUUUUCUUAUACUCACACUUCACCAGGUCACACAGAUGUAACUUCUGAUAAACUUGUCUUGUAAGCCCAGAAGUCAACCUCUUCUUUUUAUAAUUAGACAUUUGUUAGAGUAACAGAAAGCUAUUGUGCAUGGGAAUAAGCCAUGUGGGCUUUUCCUCAUAAAUGGAAUAAAAGAGUUUCAAAGAGCUGCUUGGUCUUUCCAUCUCUUUCACAUGUGAGGAUACAGCUUUUGUCCUUGUCUGUCCUUCUGUUCUUCCAUUGUGAAGAUGCAGCAUUAUCUCCUCUGAAGGAUGCAGCAACAGGGUGCCACCUUCAAAGCAGAACAGCCCUUGCCAGGCACCAAAUCUGCACCUUGACAUUAGACUUUCUGGCCUCCAGAACUGUGAGAAACAAGUUUAUGCCACUUAUAAAUCAGUCUUUGAACAGAACAAGACAGACUGACAACCAGUUUUAUGGGACAGUCUAUUUUUUCCAUUGAUCUGAAACGCUACCUUCACACCAAGGAACAAGCUGACCCAGGUCCCCAAGAAGCUUCAAACCAGAUGUGGCCAACAUGGUAACUAC